GGCGCUAUAGCCAAGUGGUUACGGCGACAGAUUCGAAUAUUCGACUAUCUGUUCCUCUUUGAGGGCGCAGGUUCAAAUCCUGCUGGCGUCG
rnacentral:tRNA from 2 species